rnacentral:rRNA from 1 species
AUUGAACGCUGGCGGCAUGCUUUACACAUGCAAGUCGAACGGCAGCGCGGGCUUCGGCCUGGCGGCGCGUGGCGAACGGGUGAGUAAUACAUCGGAACGUGCCCAGUAGUGGGGGAUAGCUCGGCGAAAGCCGGAUUAAUACCGCAUACGACCUGAGGGUGAAAGCGGGGGAUCUUCGGACCUCGCGCUAUUGGAGCGGCCGAUGGCAGAUUAGCUAGUUGGUGGGGUAAAGGCCUACCAAGGCGACGAUCUGUAGCUGGUCUGAGAGGACGACCAGCCACACUGGGACUGAGACACGGCCCAGACUCCUACGGGAGGCAGCAGUGGGGAAUGUUGGACAAUGGGCGAAAGCCUGAUCCAGCAAUGCCGCGUGUGUGAUGAAGGCCUUCGGGUUGUAAAGCACUUUUGGCGGGAACGAAAAGGACUGUGCCAAUACCACGGUUCGAUGACGGUACCCGCAGAAUAAGCACCGGCUAACUACGUG